rnacentral:rRNA from 1 species
UUGCUACAGGCUUAACACAUGCAAGUCGAGGGGCAUCAGGAAGAAAGCUUGCUUUCUUUGCUGGCGACCGGCGCGCGGGUGAGUAACACGUAUCCAACCCGCCCUUUACUCGGGGAUAGCCUUUCGAAAGAAAGAUUAAUACCCGAUAGCAUAAUGAUUCCGCAUGGUUUCAUUAUUAAAGGAUUCCGGUAAAGGAUGGGGAUGCGUUCCAUUAGGUUGUUGGUGAGGUAACGGCCCACCAAGCCUUCGAUGGAUAGGGGUUCUGAGAGGAAGGUCCCCCACAUUGGAACUGAGACACGGUCCAAACUCCUACGGGAGGCAGCAGUGAGGAAUAUUGGUCAAUGGGCGCUAGCCUGAACCAGCCAAGUAGCGUGAAGGAUGAAGGCUCUAUGGGUCGUAAACUUCUUUUAUAUAAGAAUAAAGUGCAGUAUGUAUACUGUUUUGUAUGUAUUAUAUGAAUAAGGAUCGGCUAACUCCGUGCCAGCAGCCGCGGUAAUACGGAGGAUCCGAGCGUUAUCCGGAUUUAUUGGGUUUAAAGGGAGCGUAGGUGGACUGGUAAGUCAGUUGUGAAAGUUUGCGGCUCAACCGUAAAAUUGCAGUUGAUACUGUCAGUCUUGAGUACAGUAGAGGUGGGCGGAAUUCGUGGUGUAGCGGUGAAAUGCUUAGAUAUCACGAAGAACUCCGAUUGCGAAGGCAGCUCACUGGACUGCAACUGACACUGAUGCUCGAAAGUGUGGGUAUCAAACAGGAUUAGAUACCCUGGUAGUCCACACAGUAAACGAUGAAUACUCGCUGUUUGCGAUAUACAGUAAGCGGCCAAGCGAAAGCAUUAAGUAUUCCACCUGGGGAGUACGCCGGCAACGGUGAAACUCAAAGGAAUUGACGGGGGCCCGCACAAGCGGAGGAACAUGUGGUUUAAUUCGAUGAUACGCGAGGAACCUUACCCGGGCUUAAAUUGCAGUGGAAUGAUGUGGAAACAUGUCAGUGAGCAAUCACCGCUGUGAAGGUGCUGCAUGGUUGUCGUCAGCUCGUGCCGUGAGGUGUCGGCUUAAGUGCCAUAACGAGCGCAACCCUUAUCUUUAGUUACUAACAGGUUAUGCUGAGGACUCUAGAGAGACUGCCGUCGUAAGAUGUGAGGAAGGUGGGGAUGACGUCAAAUCAGCACGGCCCUUACGUCCGGGGCUACACACGUGUUACAAUGGGGGGUACAGAAGGCAGCUAGCGGGUGACCGUAUGCUAAUCCCAAAAUCCUCUCUCAGUUCGGAUCGAAGUCUGCAACCCGACUUCGUGAAGCUGGAUUCGCUAGUAAUCGCGCAUCAGCCACGGCGCGGUGAAUACGUUCCCGGGCCUUGUACACACCGCCCGUCAAGCCAUGGGAGCCGGGGGUACCUGAAGUACGUAACCGCAAGGAUCGUCCUAGGGUAAAACUGGUGACUGGGGCUAAGU